GAAAAGAGGAGACAGCACCUGAAUGGCUGUCCAGAGCCCCCGUGAGCUGCCCAGAGUCCACAGGGCAAGUCAGUUUGCCAGCACCUGGGAGCACCUUCAGCAGGUCUUGCCUCCUGAGAGCUCCGCCAUCUGAUACUUGAAUUCCCUCUAUGACAUCUUGAACUGGGGUCAUCCAGCUGCGGCAAGAACAUGUUCAGUGAUGCAGAGUUCAUGACCUUUGACUCAUGUUUUGACCGCUAUAGUAUCUUUCUUUCUUUUGAGCCAAAAUCUGCCCCUUGAACUUCUCCUGUUUGUUCUUUCCUGAAGCCCCACAUAGACUGGACCAAUCAACUCGUUCACCCACCAGACCGUCCGUGUCCCAGCCAGCAUGCUGGGCACAGUCUCGGCCCUCCAGGGCUCACAGUCUGCUGGUGGCUUCUGGAAUAUGAUGAUGGUGAAGGAAGCACUACCACAGAGAACUCCUAGAGAUGGGAAUUUCGCCCAGGGCUCACCCAGGACCUGCUCACCAGCACCAGCUCACCCA